ACGGAGUGGAUGUACCUGAGGACAGACAGUCUGACAGCAGCUGAGACACAUUAAAGUUCCCGGAGGUGACGGUGUGAUGCCUGAGGGAUCUCACAGCUCCUCCUAUGACGUCCCCAUGGAUGAAGGCGCAGAACGUACGUGCUACUUGGCAGUCGGAUGUAGUCCAUGUAGUGUGUUCAAAUGCAACUGACACAGGGCGACGUGAGGCGACGUGAGGCGAGGCAACAGUUGGCUUUCAUCGCCGCCAGUUCUUUGAUUUUGGUUUGGUGUGUCUGCACCUUUACAGAGACCAAAAUACAAAGAAUGAGGCUUGGGACGGCGUUGCGGAGGCAGU